UAAAAACUCUAUUAUAAAAACUCUACUAACAUAAGUUCUACUUAAAUAAACUAUAUUUAAAAAAUUAUACUAAAUAAAGCCUUAAUAUUAUUCAUGCCAUAAAAAUAAAGCAUGAAAUGUUGAGCUCGAAAUCGAUCAUAUGCCAAAGUAUGUAAUGUCAGACAGUUUAUUUGACCACUCAACUAAAAUGGUAUUUGUCUAUCUCCGGAAUCAAUUGGAAUAUACCAAAUCAAAAACCAUUAAAUUGUGACUUUUAAGCUUCAAGAUGAUGGAUCAAAGAAGUCGAAAACGAUUUCCGCAUACCAAACAAUAAGGGAUGUGGAAAGCUCAACACUCGCGAUUGUUCAAAAAAUAAUGUCCCUACACAAUAUGGGAUCAUGCUAACAUUCAUUGUGGUUCAAAAUUUCAACCUUUAAUUUUGACCUUCAAUAAUGUAAGAAUUUCAACUUUCAAAAACAAUAAUUCUACUUUUUUAAAAAAAAUUCAAAUUUUAUAAGGUCUUAUAUGAUGAAAUUUACUACCUUAAUUUGGAUUUAACCCGUUAUUUGGCUCCACAGUUUGAGUAUUCCAUAUGUGUGGGGACAUAUUAGCAUGACUUCAGCUUUGAUAAACAACAUGACUUUUUUCCGAUACGUUUACCAGCCGAUCGAUACUAUAUCACGUAAGGUUCAAAGCAAAGUAUUCAAAUGUUCUAGAUUUUUGUGCUACUUAUUUUAUUUGAAAUUUUGUUGUAGGAGUAAAUUGAAUAUUUAAAUAAUAGUCCUUGAAAUUUUGAAAUUACUAAUAGCUAAAUUUAAGACCACUUAUUGUUAAUCAAUUAACCAUAUAAGUCAACAGUUGAUAUUCUGCAUCACUGUUUAAAUAGAAGAAUAUUCUUUAUCACACUAAAUAUAUACUAAUGUGUCUAGACGUGGGUCCAUCGAGUUGCGCAAGAAUCAAUGCUAUAAUGAAACUUUUCUAAUUCAUUUGAGCAUUUUUCUAACCCCCUGCUUCAAGUUGUUUUGACAAAAGAGAACUUCAUGAUUUCCAAGUAAGUUGACAAAAUAUGUAUAAUUUUAUGAGCAUAUUCCAAGAACAUUUAAACCUGAUGCCCCAUUUCUACCCAACAAGCUACAUGAUCCCAAUGUCCUACUUGGCCUAAUAAGAUGCAUAUUUUCUGUAACAAAUAAGUCAAAUGUUAAAAUUUCUAACAAAACAACCUCAUAUUUUUCCAAUUUCCAUCGUUCUCCAUCCCCUUUUUGUGGCACGUUAAGUUACAUAUACCAUAACAUGACUCCAAUUUGAUUGGGUAGAUCGACGUAGCAGAAAAGAAGAAGAAGAAAAAAAUGUUCCUUAAUGUACGGUUAAUAAAUAGAAAGCCUUUAAUCCUCGACUUUAAUAAUUAGACGAUGAAAAUUGGUCAUAACUCUUAUCAGUAAGUCUGAAAAUCUCUUUUAACAUGCCUAAAAGCAAAUAAUUUUAUAUUUUAAUAAUGAUUUCAAACAAGAACCCAUAAUAAAAUUUUAAGGAAAUGUGACAUAAAUUAAAUUCAUUACAAAAGUCUAUAUCAGCGCCCAAAAUAGAAAAUAAUUAAUAUUCUUACGAUCAAAUGGAGAGAUUUAAGGCCAAUUUGAGAUUGCAGUUACUAAUUAA
rnacentral:lncRNA from 1 species